UGCCAGCAGCCGCGGUAAUACGGAGGGGGUUAGCGUUGUUCGGAAUUACUGGGCGUAAAGCGCGCGUAGGCGGACUAGUCAGUCAGAGGUGAAAUCCCAGGGCUCAACCCUGGAACUGCCUUUGAUACUGCUAGUCGUGAUUUCGAGAGAGGUAAGUGGAAUUCCGAGUGGAGAGGUGACAGUCGUAGAUAGUCGGAGGAGAACCAGUGGCGCAGGCGAACUUACUGGCUCGAUACUUAAGCUGAGUUGCGAAAGUGUGGGGAGCAAACAGUAUUAGAUC
rnacentral:rRNA from 1 species